rnacentral:RNase_P_RNA from 2 species
UCAGAGGGAAGCUCAACACUGAGGCCAUGUGCAGGGUGCUAAUCACUGCCUCUGGGAAGGUCUGAAACAAGAACCCUUAGGUACCUUCAGAGGGCACCACAAGGAGUUGAGAUACCAGGGAGGCUGGGCCCUGCCUGAAGGGCAUAUAAGCCAGAUGGGAUGGGCUUCUCCCCUGGCUAAUAACCAUCCCUUUUCCAGGGUCUUGAGACAGGCUCGUGGCUGGAACUUCUGAGUCCUGUGUCCUUGCACACAGGAUUCCCAGCCAAAGUCAUACUAUUCUCCUUCUAA